GACUGAGGAAGAGCAAGAGGUGGUUUCACAACAUGAGAGUGAGAGUGAGAACGAUUGUGAGUGGUUUUUGCAAAGAAAUUUCAUGGCAUAAGGGUUUCGAUUUUGAGAGCUAUCUGAUAAUAGGCAGGGGAUAGUGAUCAUUUGGCUGCUGCUUUCCUCCUAUGCCAUAAUAGUUUCCAUGGGAUUAAUCUACGGAAAACUCCUGUGUUGCAAUAUUUAUAUUACCUCGCACAAGUUAGCCCCUCAUGAAUAGUCAGUCAUUUGGUCAACAUAACAAUAUCUAUCAUGCUACAAUCGUAGUUUGCAUUUGUUGUAAAUCUUGAAAAAUUUGUGAUAAAAAUUUAAUAGUAGUCAUGUUAUCUUUUUAGGUUGGAUUGGCAAUGUCACCACUUAGCAAUAAUUCACUUUUCUUGGACUAUUCUUGCAAUCCAUUGCCCAUGUUUUUCCAGUGAGGUCUGAAUGUCUCUCUUUCUACUGAUGAUCCUUUGCAAAUUCAUUUGACAAAAGAGCCCUUGCUUGAGGAAUAUAGCUUCGCAGCAAAGUGGUUGAUGUUGAAGUGAUUGCGUUGUGAAUUUUGGUGCAGAAAAGUGGAACAGAUAGUGAUCAAUAUGGGAGCCAGCCACAUAAAACAUCACUUACUCUAAUAUUUAAUGUUCUUAAUCUAACUUAUUUAUUUUUUCCCUAUUAGAUUAUGAAAAUGGUGAUGUUGAAAGAAACCUUGUAAUGACAGCAUCUCUUACUCUAAUAUUGAAUGUUCACCUGAGUAGGAUGCAAAUUUGGAACUUCAACAGGCGUAUCGGCCGCAGACAGAACGAAAAUAGUUCUUGCUCUAUCAUCUCCAGAGUCUAACUCAGAAAAUUUUAGAAAGCCAGGUCAUGUGUUUCCCUUGAAGUAUGGAAAUGGUGGGGUUCUAAGGAGAGCAGGUCAUACUGAGGCUUCAGUUGAUCUGGUUUCACCUGCUGGAUUGCCACCAGUUUCUGUUCUUUCAGCUCUUGUUAAUGAUGAGGAUGGAUCCAUGUCUUCUUUGUCCACUUUAACAAACUUAGAAUUGGAAUACAACUUUCCUAUUAUAUCAAUUACUGAUUUGAUAAGAUUAUUUGAUGGAAAUGAUUUAUCUGGUUCUAUACCAGAAACAUUAGGACUAGCUCAGACACUUGAGGUUCUCUGGCUUGAUAGAAAUUCUCUGACAGGAGAGGUUCCUACAAAUCUUUGUAAGAGAUGAGUUUGGAUAAUGAAGUUGGAGUGUUGCAACAAGAAACAAAGAUGUUGGAAUAAAUUCUCGGGAUGAAACUCACACAAGAGACCAAGAAACUAAGGUAGACUUGUUUUAAAGUUAAUUGCAAAAGAAAGAAACUUUUGGCCUCCAAAUCUUAUUCAUCAUCACUUAGCUAUGCUACUUGUCUUGUAUAUUCAUAUUCUAAGUAGUAAAAAUAGCACUUAUUAGAUGGUUUAAAUACAUUAUUAGAUAUUAACAUAGUUUAGGGAACUGGAUGGUAGAUUUGACUGAUUAGUGUUUAUUCCAAUGCUUGUAUUUUGGUAAGUUUAGUAAGACAAGGUUUUGUAUAGGAGUUAUUACUUUUGAUUUU